UACGGAGGGUGCGAACGUUAAUCGGAAUUACUGGGCGUAAAGCGCGCGUAGGCGGAUCGCUAAGUCAGGGGUGAAAUCCCAGGGCUCAACCCUGGAACUGCCUCUGAUACUAACAAUCUGGAGAUCGGGAGAGGUUGGUGGAAUUCCGAGUGUAGAGGUGAAAUUCGUAGAUAUUCGGAGGAACACCAGAAGCGAAGGCGGCCAACUGGCCCGAUACUGACGCUGAGGCGCGAAAGCGUGGGGAGCAAACAGG
rnacentral:rRNA from 1 species